rnacentral:rRNA from 1 species
GACGAACGCUGGCGGCGUGCUUAACACAUGCAAGUCGAACGGUGAAGCGCCUUCCUUUUUGGUGGGUGUGGAUGAGUGGCGAACGGGUGAGUAACACGUGAGUAACCUGCCCCCUUCUUCUGGAUAACCGCAUGAAAGUGUGGCUAAUACGGGAUAUUCUGGGUCUGUCGCAUGAUGGGUCUGGGAAAGAUAUUGUUUCGGUGGGGGAUGGGCUCGCGGCCUAUCAGCUUGUUGGUGGGGUGAUGGCCUACCAAGGCGGUGACGGGUAGCCGGCCUGGGAGGGUGGACGGUCACACUGGGACGGAGACACGGCCCAGACUCCUACGGGAGGCAGCAGUGGGGAAUAUUGCACAAUGGGCGCAAGCAUGAUGCAGCGACGCCGCGUGAGGGAUGGAGGCCUUCGGGUUGUGAACCUCUUUCGCCAGUGAAGCAGGCCUGCCUCGUUUGUGGGUGGGUUGACGGUAGCUGGAUAAGAAGCGCCGGCUAACUACGUG